CCGUGCUAGGGGGGGAGCCAGUGGUGCCCUGUAACCCGCAAUCCACUAUAAAGGGCCUGAAUUCCCCUGUAGAGGCUUGAUUCCGUGUAGGGGUCCGUUCUCGCGGACGGAUGGGUCGGGUCCCACGCAACAGGCGCAGCUGAACCCCGUCAGAUCCGGGAGGAAGCAGCGGUAAGGUUAGCAGCCUGUGUGUUGUGGGCAGCCUGGCCAAUCGUCCCCCGUGGGAAAACGCUCUACUCGGAUAGGGUCGAUCAGGGGUGCACGG
rnacentral:SRP_RNA from 1 species